GACGAACCGUGCGAACGUUGUUCGGAAUCACUGGGCUUAAAGGGCGCGUAGGCGGGCUGCCAAGUCUGGGGUGAAAUCCCACGGCUCAACCGUGGAACUGCCUCGGAUACUGGCGGCCUCGAGGGAGGUAGGGGCGUGCGGAACUGUGGGUGGAGCGGUGAAAUGCGUAGAUAUCAUUUGGAACGCCAAUGGUGAAAACAGGUAGCUGGGGCUGUGCUGACACUGAGACACGAAAGCCAGGGGAGCGAACGGG
rnacentral:rRNA from 1 species